UGAGGUGUUACAUGCUAGAUCGAUGUGUCAUUGAGUCGGGGUCCUGACAUUCCAUCAGAACUCCGAAGUUAAGCGUGCUUGGGCGAGAGUAGUACUAGGAUGGGUGACCUCCUGGGAAGUCCUCGUGUUGCAUUCC
rnacentral:rRNA from 1 species